rnacentral:lncRNA from 1 species
CAUGGGACUCUGUAUUUGGCCAUGAAAAGCAAAAGGCAGGGGAAGUGACUAUAAUGUUCAGUAGCUUUGUAUUUAGUAGAAAAAAUGGUGACUUGAUCAGCAAGGUCAGUAGGUAAGAUUUCUGGAAGGGCUCCAUGAAAAUCUCACCAUUUAAGGAACCAAGAGGGGAUGACUGACUUGAAUUUAUGAUCAAAGGAGAAGAUUAGUAUAAUGAGGUUUUAAUAUAUAGUCUGACCUGGGUGACUGUAAGGGGUUAGCAGAAGAAGUCAUUUGGGAUUGACUGGAUGCAAGAACAGAAGAGAAAGAUGGUCUGGGUAUGGUGCCAAGAAUCUGGUACCGGUUGACUAGCUCAAGGGAGGACGCAGGAGGAGCAGGUAAAGCAAGUUGUUUAGAAGGAGGUUUUUGAUUAGCAGACAUCUGCAGAAAACAAGUUAGCAAUAACUUAGAAUAGAUAAAUAAUUAGUAAGGUAAACAACUCGGCAUUGGUAUGCAAUAAUUCUUUGGACUCUCCACUCAAUCUCUCGUUUGGUAAAGAUAGGAUCGAAUCCAUGAGUAUGUAUGGUUUCAAUUUGGGUGGUGUAUCUCUCCAUAAGUUUAGUAAGGUGAGCAAUUCUGGCUUUGUACUGUGAGCAAAAAGGCAUUGGCAUGGUUAGGUAUUACCCUGUAAAAAUUCUCGAGUCAAGAAAUCCGGAAUGGAAUUCUUGCUGCCUUCAAUGUAUUCAAUAUCAAAAUCAAAAAUGCUUAAAAUAGAUUGCCAUCUGGCAAAGAUUUGUUUACUUGCAAUAUUUUUUACAUCUUUUUGUAAAACAUAUUUAGCACUUUUACAAUCCACUCUGACUAAAAACUUUUGAUUCAAAAUAUCAUCUUGAAAUUUUGAAACACACAAAACAAUGGAUAAAAUCUCUUUUUUAAUAGUACUAUAAUUAAGUUGUGCUUUAUUCCAGACUCCUGAAUGGAAACGAACAAUUUGUUCAGGAGAAGAAUGAGUGAUUUUCUGAAGUAGGAUGCCUCCAUAACCAAUAUCAGAAGCAUCAGUUUGAAUAAUUUUAAACGAAAUAUCAGAAGGAAUACCAAGACAAGGCAAUGUCUUGACAUAAGAUUUUAACUCUUUGACUAUAGUAGUAUGGACUGAUGACCAAGGAGGAGGAUUAUCUUUUAACCUGUCAAAAAGAGGUUGACACUUCUUUCUGAGAUCUUUGUAGAAUUCAACAAUGUAAUUUAAGGAUCCAAGAAAUCUUUGUAACUGGGUUUUAUCUAAGAUUUCAUCAGGAAAUUUAUCAGCAAACUGGAUGGACCUAGUGAUAGGAAUAACAGUUCCUUGAUAAAUAUUAUAACCUAGAAAUCGAAUUUUAGUUUGAAAUAAUUCAAUUUUUGAGGCAGAGAUAACUAGACCAUUGUACUUGACUAUGUCAAAGAAUGUGUUCAGAUGUUUCCAAUGUUCCUCUAUUGAGUUGGAAAAAAUAAGAACAUCAUCAAUGUAAACCAAGGUAAAUAGAGAAAAAGGAUUGAAGAUUUCGUUCAUAAUAUUUUGAAAUUCACUAGGAGCAUUUUUUAAUCCGAAUGGCAUAACAUUCCAUUCGUAGUGACCAAAAGGAGUAGUGAAAGCAGUUUUGUACCUCUCAUUAGGAUGAAUCUGUAUUUGCCAAAAUCCGCUCUUUAAGUCGAAAUUUGAAAAUAUAACGGCAUUACUAAUCCUUUUAAUUAGGUCCUUUUUAUUAGGGAUUGGAUAUCUAAUCCAUUCUAAGACUUCAUUUAACGGUUUGUAAUUAAUGACUAGACGGGGAACUCCUCGCUCUAUUUCAGAAUUUUUAUUAACAUAAAAAGCGGGGCAUGACCAAGGAGACUUACUUUUACUAAUAAUCUUAUUUUUUAGUAAAUCAUUUAUUUCUGUCUUACAAGUUUCCAUUAAGUCAGAAGUCAUUUGUAUAGGUCGGGAUUUAGUAGGAAUUUUACUUUCAUGAAAAUUUUUUAUAUAAGGCAAGGUUACUAUAUGUUUCUUCCUAUGCCAGAAAGCACUAGGAAAAGAAGCACAUAUAUGUUUUUCAAGUUUUAAUUUAAAAACAAUAAUUUUAUUUUGUAAAUGUGAAUUACUUAAUUGGGUUUCAAUUCGUUUAUAUUUUAAUUCUUCUUUUAGAAAAUUAAUUUGUUGUGUUUUUUGAUUAAUAGUAUUAAUAGAUAUAGAAUGAUUUUGUAGUUGGUUUAAUUUAAUAGUUUCUGGUUUAGAAAGGAAAUCAAAGAUGACUGUUUUACCAAAAGGUUUAGAUGUUAAUCCAUUAGCGUUAGUAGUAAAAGGAUAUAGUAAGUAAAUAAAAGGAAUUCCUAAAAUAACUUUAUCAGUCAUAUUUUUUACUAAAAUAAAAGAAGUUUUAAAACAAACAUUAUUUUGACAAAUAUGAACUUUAGGUAAUUUAUAUUUAAUAUCCAUUUUACUUCCAUUAGCUGUGCUUAAUCUUUCAGUAGUUUUAUGAUAAAAUUUUGUAGGAACUAGUCCUUCUUGGAUACAGUUUAAAUCAGCUCCUGUGUCGAUAAGAGCAAUGACUUCUAACUCAUAAUCUUUGAUUACUAAUUUUACUUUGGUAUGUCAUUUUUGUAAAUUAAUUUUAUUAAUAAUAUUAAUAUUAGGAAAGACCUCACUAGGGUUAAUUUGAUCAGGUUCUGCUUUGUCUGUAAAUUCUUCAAGUAUAUUAGUAAGAUUUUUAUUAAUUUUUAGUAAUUCAAUUUGUUCUUCUAAAUUUUUAUCUCUUAGUUUUAGAUUCUUAAUUUCUAGUUUAAUAGAAUUAAUCUCAUGCUGUAAAUCAGAUAAACAAGUUUCUUUAUGUUUAUUCUUUUUAAAUUUUUCUAAAGUAUUAUUAAGACUUAUAAAAGGUUUAUCCGUUUGUAGUUUAGGAUUUAUCCAUAAAGAUUUUAAUUUAUUAAUAUGCUGUUGUUUUAAUGAGUCAUCAUCUAUUUUACUGAUUAAUUCUAGUAAUGCUUCUUCUUCUUUUUGAAUUUUGGUGAUUACAUUGACUGUUUUACAACAAUUGUUACUACAUGUGAUAUUAAUGUUUUCAUUAUGAGAUGAAGAAUUACUAGAUGUCUCUUGAGGACUGUUAAAGUCAUUAUCAGUAAUAUAACUUUCUAUGUUAGUUAGUUUAAAUAUUUCAAAAAUUUUAUUUUUAUUUUCUUCAGAGAUUUGAAGUUUAUUAAUUCGUGAUUUAGACCAACAUUUAUUUUUCUAAUGACCUUUCUUACCACAUUUAUGACAAAUAAUAUCUUUUUUGUUAUCUUUUUUAUUAGAAGUAUGUUUUGGAGUAGAUUUCUUAACAGGUUUAUCAUAAAAUGUAUUAUGUUGAGCAUAUCUAUUUUUUUUUAUGAUGAUGACUAUGUUUUUUAUGUGUUUUAAAUUCUCUUAAUUUCUGAUGUCUAUGUUUUCUGAUUGAGGGGGCAACAGGUGUUAAACCGUAUUGCUCGCAAAAGUUUCCUAAUUCAUAUUUAGCUUUGUUUUUAUCUUUACUUUCUUGUUUUCUAAUCUUCAUGUCAAUACACAUUCUUAACCCUUCUUUUUGAAUAGUGCUAAUUAUAUCACCGUAGGUUAAUUGAUCAUAAUCUAUUGUUCCUGUAGGUUGACUAAGGACAUCUCUAAUUUUGUGAGCAAAGAGACUGGGUAAACCAUUAAUGAAUUUUUCUUUCCAAAAAGGUUUAGUACAGUCUUCUCUUAGCAUGACUCUAGAGGUAAAAACAUCUUUGUACCAUCUGAAGUCACUAAGUGUUGGGCAACUAAGAUUACUUAAUUGAUCAUGAAUUCGUGAAUGUAUAUCACUAGGGGUUCUUAUGAAAUGUUUAAUAAUUGUAUAAAUUAAAGUAUUUAUUCCAUCAGGUUUUCCUGAACCUAUAGUUUCAUCAAAAAUAGGGAGGUUAUUUUCAUCUAAUUGAAUAGCAUUUUUAAUUUGUUCUCUUAAUUCGUCAAUAAGAUAUCUAUCCUACCAGGAUUUUAACAUUCCAGUAAAACCGGAGGUUAAUAGGUCAACUAUAUCAGCUUGAGUAUAGUCCAAAUAAUUAGUUAAGUAACUAUUUGAAACCAUAGAUAAAUGAUGUAAUUUUUGUAAAAUUCCAUUUUCACUAAGGCCAUCAAUAUUCCAUUCAAACAAUUUUUUAGCUUCAACAGAAAACUGGUUAUCUAGAUUUCUUUCCUCGAAUUGUAAAUCAGGAGGAGUAGGUCUAGGAUACCAAUUUUGUGUAAUAGAAGUAUGACUAGGAGUAAAUUUGAUUUUAUUAACGUUAAACUGGUUUUCUAAUUCAGAUAGGUCUUCAGUAGGUUGAUCAGUAUCUGAUUCACUAUCUGUAGAUUGUAAUUCUAAUUCAUUUUGAUUAAUAACUUUAAUAAUAUUUUGAUUAAAAUUGAUAAUAAACCAAUUUUUCAAGAAACUUCUACUUCUAAAAAUUUAGAAAUACCAUUAACAUCCUUACCUAGUAACAGACGUCAACUUGGUCUUAAAAACCCAACAAAUGAUAUUCAAAGAAUAGAAGAGCUUUUUGCAAGUCUUAAGUCAAAAAUUCAAACCAAAACGGAAGGUUCAUCUAUUAAAGUUAUUAAUCAAAAUGAAUUAGAAUUACAAUCUACAGAUAGUGAAUCAGAUACUGAUCAACCUACUGAAGACCUAUCUGAAUUAGAAAACCAGUUUAACGUUAAUAAAAUCAAAUUUACUCCUAGUCAUACUUCUAUUACACAAAAUUGGUAUCCUAGACCUACUCCUCCUGAUUUACAAUUCGAGGAAAGAAAUCUAGAUAACCAGUUUUCUGUUGGAGCUAAAAAAUUGUAUGAAUGGAAUAUUGAUGGCCUUAGUGAAAAUGGAAUUUUACAAAAAUUACAUCAUUUAUCUAUGGUUUCAAAUAGUUACUUAACUAAUUAUUUGGACUAUACUCAAGCUGAUAUAGUUGACCUAUUAACCUCCGGUUUUACUGGAAUGUUAAAAUCCUGGUGGGAUAGAUAUCUUACUGACGAAUCAAGAGAACAAAUUAAAAAUGCUAUUCAAUUAGAUGAAAAUAACCUCCCCAUUUUGAUGAAACUAUAGGUUCAGGAAAACCUGAUGGAAUAAAUACUUUAAUUUAUACAAUUAUUAAACAUUUCAUAAGAACCCCUAGUGAUAUACAUUCACGAAUUCAUGAUCAAUUAAGUAACCUUAGUUGCCCAACACUUAGUGACUUCAGAUGGUACAAAGAUGUUUUUACCUCUAGAGUCAUGCUAAGAGAAGACUGUACUAAACCUUUUUGGAAAGAAAAAUUCAUUAAUGGUUUACCCAGUCUCUUUGCUCACAAAAUUAGAGAUGUCCUUAGUCAACCUACAGGAACAAUAGAUUAUGAUCAAUUAACCUACGGUGAUAUAAUUAGCACUAUUCAAAAAGAAGGGUUAAGAAUGUGUAUUGACAUGAAGAUUAGAAAACAAGAAAGUAAAGAUAAAAACAAAGCUAAAUAUGAAUUAGAAAACUUUUGCGAGCAAUACGGUUUAACACCUGUUGCCCCCUCAGUCAGAAAACAUAGACAUCAGAAAUUAAGAGAAUUUAAAACACAUAAAAAACAUAGUCAUCAUCAUAAAAAAAAAUAGAUAUGCUCAACAUAAUACAUUUUAUGAUAAACCUGUUAAGAAAUCUACUCCAAAACAUACUUCUAAUAAAAAAGAUAACAAAAAAGAUAUUAUUUGUCAUAAAUGUGGUAAGAAAGGUCAUUAGAAAAAUAAAUGUUGGUCUAAAUCACGAAUUAAUAAACUUCAAAUCUCUAAAGAAAAUAAAAAUAAAAUUUUUGAAAUAUUUAAACUAACUAACAUAGAAAGUUAUAUUACUGAUAAUGACUUUAACAGUCCUCAAGAGACAUCUAGUAAUUCUUCAUCUGAUAAUGAAAACAUUAAUAUCACAUGUAGUAACAAUUGUUGUAAAACAAUCAAUGUAAUCACCAAAAUUCAAAAAGAAGAAGAAGUAUUACUAGAAUUAAUCAGCAAAAUAGAUGAUGACUCAUUAAAACAACAGUAUAUUAAUAAAUUAAAAUCUUUAUGGAUAAAUCCUAAACUACAAACGGAUAAACCUUUUAUAAGUCUUAAUAAUACUUUAGAAAAAUUUAAAAAGAAUAAACAUAAAGAAACUUGUUUAUCUGACUUACAGCAUGAGAUUAAUUCUAUUAAACUAGAAAUUAAGAAUCUAAAACUAAGAGAUAAAAAUUUAGAAGAACAAAUUGAAUUACUAAAAAUUAAUAAAAAUCUUACUAAUAUACUUGAAGAAUUUACAGACAAAGCAGAACCUGAUCAAAUUAACCCUAGUGAGGUCUUUCCUAACAUUAAUAUUAUUAAUAAAAUUAAUUUACAAAAAUGGCAUACCAAAGUAAAAUUAGUAAUCAAAGAUUAUGAGUUAGAAGUCAUUGCUCUUAUCGACACAGGAGCUGAUUUAAACUGUAUCCAAGAAGGACUAGUUCCUACAAAAUUUUAUCAUAAAACUACUGAAAGAUUAAGCACAGCUAAUGGAAGUAAAAUGGAUAUUAAAUAUAAAUUACCUAAAGUUCAUAUUUGUCAAAAUAAUAUUUGUUUUAAAACUUCUUUACAGGGUAAUACCUAACCAUGCCAAUGCCUUUUUGCUCACAGUACAAAGCCAGAAUUGCUCACCUUACUGAACUUAUGGAGAGAUACACCACCCAAAUUGAAACCAUACAUACUCAUGGAUUCGAUCCUAUCUUUACCAAACGAGAGAUUGAGUGGAGAGUCCAAAGAAUUAUUGCAUACCAAUGCCGAGUUGUUUACCUUACUAAUUAUUUAUCUAUUCUAAGUUAUUGCUAACUUGUUUUCUGCAGAUGUCUGCUAAUCAAAAACCUCCUUCUAAACAACUUGCUUUACCUGUUCCUCCUGUGUCCUCCCUUGAGCUAGUCAACCGGUACCAGAUUCUUGGCACCAUACCCAGACCAUCUUUCUCUUCUGUUCUUGCACCCAGUCAAUCCCAAAUGACUUCUUCUGCUAACCCCUUACAGUCACCCAGGUCAGACUAUAUAUUAAAACCUCAUUAUACUAAUCUCUUUUAUAUUGAACCAGUUCACAAAAAUAUUAAAGAUCCCAUUCAACUUGCUAAUUUCUUCUUCCCUCCAGGUUGGCAUUUUACUCCAAUGCACCCUAAUAAGUCAAUCUCUUUUUACAAAGAUAUUUUGCUAAAACACAAGUCAGUUGUCUUUAAACCCAUCUUUGAUAAACAUAAUCCUAAUAAGAUUAUUUACCAUUCUCUUUAUAUUCAUAAUAUUAUAUCUCUUGAUGAACGGGGUCACCCCUCUCUUCUCCAAGACCUACCCGAUCACUCCAUUAAAUAUAGUUAUUAUGAUUACAUCGAAGCCUGGUUCAAAAUACUGCUCCACCAAAAUGAGUCAUUCUUACAUUCCUGGUUCUUCUCCUUUGAUCAUAAAUUCAAGUCAGUCAUCCCCUCUUGGUUCCUUAAAUGGUGGGAUUUUCAUGGAGCCCUUCCAGAAAUCUUACCUACUGACCUUGCUGAUCAAGUCACCAUUUUUUCUACUAAAUACAAAGCUACUGAACAUUAUAGUCACUUCCCCUGCCUUUUGCUUUUCAUGGCCAAAUACAGAGUCCCAUGGAUAUUCAAAUGGCAUCAUCCGACAACAUUUUGUUAAAUGGUGGGAUGCUUUUAAACAUCCUCGAAUAAUUGAACAAGUCAAGCUAGAAUUCCCAGUUCUAGUUCCCACUCCAGUCAAGCCAGUUACACAGCCCCUGCGGCAAUAGCAAAAUCAGCAUAUUCAACCGCCAAACUGGAUAGUCCCUCCUCCAGUACCAAGGCUAGCAAACCAAAAACCUCGAAGACCAAGUCCUCGACGGCCAAGUCACCAACCCACCUGCAUUUAUUCAAGACAAUACUGAAUUGCUCAAAGUGGCCAAUUUGCUCUUGGCCCAAGUUCAAGCCCAAGCCCAGUCAGCAAUCAAAGCGGAGUCAGACAGUUCCAACAGCUCAACAGCUCAGUCAGCCCAAUCAGAAUCUCCGGAUCCAUACAGGUCUCAAUAUCAAGAUGCCCAAGAUCCAUUUGCUUAAGUCAGCAGUUUCAGUCACUACUAUCAAUUUUUGAUAGAAAAACUACUGUUGACAUAGUAACACCGACAGUCACUAUUCAAAAUUCACUGUAUUGCACUGUACACUAUUCACUCUUUACUGUUCACUUUACACUGUUUUCUCUUUCCACCGAAAGAUUUUCGUAAUUUACGGACAGUCAACCUCUUUUGGUGCCUAUUUAACCUCUUCUUUGGAACGAAAGAAGGGGACUCAGACCCAGGACUCAACCUUACCUACCUUCUCUGAUCUUCUCUCUCUACCUGUAAACAAAUUCAAAAAUGUAUUCAGUUUCAAGUUCACAGAUCUCAGUAGAUCUUCAGUAAACAAUUUACGCCAGUCAAAUUUGUAAGUUCAUUUAUUCAAUAAAAGUUUUUAAUUUAGUCAUUCAACUGUUUUUAUAGCUGCUGCCGCCACCGUGAUCGGACUACCGACACAAUGGAAGGUUUUACAGCUUUGUGCUUAAUUUCAGUAAUUUAUGCUUUGAUUUGUUAUGUUAUUUACUUAUGUGCUUCCAUAUAUAUAUAUAUAUAUAUAUAUAUAUAUGCAGUAUGCUUACACAUACUCAAAAUCCAGCGUUUUAUUACCAAGCCAACAGAAAGAUUCACUAAACAUUAGGGUUCAGUUUCGCUAUAGUGAGGUGAACCACUCUAUAGGUGACACAUGUAUAUAGAAGUUAUCCAAAAACGUAAUGGAGAACUAGCCUCUUGAAGUCAGUUAAGUUUUGAUUCCCACCCUCAUUAAUAGUUGUUUCCUUUUCCAAAACAAACUUUUUCUCUCAUUUUUGGUUAUUUUUUAUGUCCUUUCUCAAGGCAAAGAUCUCUCUCUACGUUUCUCUCUCUUUUUUGCCAGUUAUUUCAGCCAAAUCCUCCCAACCAAAAAAUAAAUUAGAAUUUUAUAUAUAAUUCUUAAUUUUAAGUAAUUUUUUUCGAAUGUAAACCCCAAGAUAUAAUUCUUAAUUUUAAGUAAUUGAUAGUAUCACAAUAAAAAUAAUAUAUUAAAUGUGUCUCUUGAUUAUGAUUAGAGAUGUUAUUUUUAAAAAAUAGAUAAUAGAUAUUGAGGUAUCAGUGUUAUAUAUAUAUAUAUAUAUAUAUAUAUAUGAUAUUUAUAAUAUAUUUUUGAAUAACACCACAAAAGUUCCUCAAGCUGCAACCGCACUUUUUAAUCUUUUUGUUUUUACUUUCUUUCAAGCCAAAGAUGGCUUUAUAUUUCUCCAAAUUGGAAAAAAUAGUUUUUCUAUUAUUUUUGUCUUUCCUAACUUUUUUUUUGCAUCUUUUAGCCAAAUCUUUUUACUUUUUUGGUUUAUCGUAAUUAGAAAAUAAAAAAGUAAAAAAAUAUUAUUUUCAAAAGUCUUUAAAAUCCAAAUUAUUCCAAUAACACGUUAAUUUGGACUUUAUUAUUUUUUUUUUGUAAAAUAAAAUCUUUUCUGAAACAUCAAAAACAAUUCGAAGAAACUAGUAGUAAAAACUAAAUAAGAAAACUAAAUGCAAAAAAAAAUAAGAAAUUUUGAAAAUAGUAAGAAUCAUUAAUGAAGGAUAAUUGUCAAAGUUAUGGGAGGUCAAUUGAUUGAGCUCUGUUAGUUUUUGGGAUAACUUUUAUAUCCAUGUGUCACAUAUAGAUUGAUCCGCCUCAUCAACUCUAAUAAACCUUACCCUUUUUAACUCUAGCAAAACCAACCCCUAAACAACUUUAACCCAAUAAUGAAACAUCAAAUACUUCAAUCAAAUCAAACUAAAACUUUUGUGCCAAAUAAUUUGGGAUCAAUUACAAGAAUCCUUUUUCACCAUUUUAAUUCUAAUCUACCAAGGCCAUGUGUUCUAUUAAAUUUAGAAAUCAUACAUACAUAUGUGCAAUAAACUUUUCUGCAGUGUAUGACUCAAAAGAAUGCACCCAACGGUCAAAAAUAAAUUUCUUCUUUAGGUAUGUAGGUUAUUGUCAAUUAUCAGUACACGAUUAGGAAUUUUUGUAACUAUAACGCAACCACACUACCGAAGCGAGUGGGGUAACUAGGCUCACUAGUUACCAUAGAUAAAUUGAAUGCCUAGAUUCUAUCAUGUUAUUUAUUUUUUUGUUAUAAAAUUUUGAUCUAUUUUUUUUUCUUGAAUCAUUUAUUCAUGUGCUCCUACUUUAUGAGUAUGCUCACUUGUUAGAAUGCAACACAUUAACACCUAAUUUAUAAUCAUCUUAUAAUGAAAUAGUUUAUUUUUUAAAAAAAUGAUUGAACUUUGGAUACAUUCACUAUGCCAAGAAAAAAGGUAGAUGAGAAUUUUAAAAAUUAUGGAAAAGGUAUCAGUAUAUAAUUAUUAUGUGCUGAAACAGAAGUCGAGAGGGGUCGGGGCCUCUAGUCCUGGUCCUUGGGUAGCUUCGUUAAUUACUUGUUAAGCUAAAUAAAAUCAAAUUAAACCUUUGUUUCAAUCAAUUGGAGUUACUUACAUGAAUCAUUUUAAGAUAUUGAGCUCUAUCAAAAGUCAAAUAUUCACUAAGAUUUAAUCCAAUCAUAUCAUUUUUACUAUCGCAUCCAAUGUUAAUUUUAGUCUGCCCCUUCCUUUAGUCUUGUCACUACCAAUAAUUAUAUAACUUCUCUUUACUACUACAUCAAUAGGCCAAUAACAUAUAUGUCUGAACCACCUAAAUCUAUUAUGUCUUAACUUAUUCUCAAUUGGUGCAACCCUUACCAUGUCAUUUAGCAUUUCUAAUUCUAUCCUCGUAGUCUUACAGCAUAUUCACAUCAACAUUCUCAUCUCAGCUAUAUUCAUUUUAGUCAUUUGUUACUCUUAUCAACCCAACAUUCUGUCACAUAUAGCAUCACCGAUCUUAUAAUCGUUCUAUAAAAUUUUUCUUAUAACUUGAGAAGUACUCUUCGAUUGCAUAAUAUUUCAAAAGUCGCUCACUACUUGAGUCAAUCAACUUAUAUCUUAUAUCUUAUGUGUUAUAUUAUCAACCAAUCCUUGCUAUAAAAUUAAAAACUAGAUAAGAAAAUUUUUUACUCUUUGGUAUCUCUUAAUUUUGGAUCUUUACUCAUUCACUAUGAAAACUUCCACUCACACUAAAUUAGCAUUCUAUAUACUCAAUCUUGUUCCUAUUUAUCUUAAAUUUUUUUGACUCUAGUGCUUUCUUCCAAAUUUCUAACUUCACAUUAACAGCUCUUGUGGUCUCGUCAACUAAUACUAUAUCAUCAACAAAGUUUCAUUACUUUUACUAAAAUAAAAUUACUAAACUCUAAUACUACAAUCAUUAUAUUUGUAUUUAACGUGACAACCCAAUCCCAUAUAUUUUAUAGGUGAAGUAAUUGGGAGUAUUAUGUAUUUCAACAUUACCUUAUACCUAUUACUAGAUGUCCCACAAAUGUAAAUCAGUGAAAGGAAAUAAUUAAUAAUUUUACAAAAUAUAUAAAAAAAAUACAUGAGAUUUUUAUAUGAUUUCCUCAAAUUUAAGGUUUAUGGGAUUGAAGUCUAAUUUCACUUUUGCCCAAUGAAUUUACAAAUGGGUCAAGAGAUCCAAACCAACAAAAAAACUUUUAGGUGUAUUCACUAUUACACAAGGAAGAAAUCCUCAACGAAAUCAGCCACAAUAGAUUAGAAAGGGUGGCAAUAAUGCCACAACUAAUUGUUUUAAUAUCACGACUGUUUCCAAAAUAUAACAGUUUUAACCCUUACUCAUAAUAGCAGCUUUUCUCUCUCAACCUUUACCUUCUUUGGAUGAAUAUAACCUUUAUCCUUCAUUUCUCUCUUCCUUUAUCUCUCAUAUUUAUACUUUUUUCAGCACGGGCAUGGCACCGGCACUUAUACAGCGCAACCAUCCGAAGACGUGAUACCAAAACCUCUAACCAACCUUAGCUAGGGAAGAUCAUCUUAGCCAUUACUUGAAGUGUUUCUUUAUGUCAGAAAAGGGAAGUGGGUGAGGAGAAAGAGGAGGAUAAGAGGUUGAGGAAGUAACAAAGGUAUAUGUGGGGUGUAUGGUUGAAGAAAUAAAGGAGAGAAAUCGAAAAUAGACAUCUGGGGUGGCUGGUCAGCGGUUGACAGUAGUUGGAGGCUGCUGGAUGAUCGACAAGACAAGAACGGUGAGAAAGGGCAUCCAAAGCUGUCUCUGAUGGUCAACUUAGAGACCGGAGUGAAUGAAGAGAGACAAAGAGAGAGUUUAUAGCUUUAGUUAGUUGUUUUUGCAUACAUUUAAGAGAAAAAGGGCAUGGUCAUUUAUAGUAUAGUUCAAAGCAUGCCUGGAUGCGCAAACUACCAUCCCAGGGGACAAACCGCAGCUUGGCGCGUGCCUGGAUACGUUGACUAUUGUGUUAGUGAGUAGGCAAAUGACCCAAUCAUUCCCCUAAGGCGUGGUUGGUAGCUAUCUAGUCAUGUCACCGGCAUAUGGAUUUAGGCAUGUAGGUGUCAGAGGAAACUUCAUCAUGCAAGUUACCAUCUUCCCCUGAUGUGCCAUUAGGAUACUCAUCGA